AACCAAGGUGAGGGCAAAGAGGACGGUAAGGGAGAAAGAAAGAAAGAAGGGAAGAUCCCCAGAGACGUGAAGAUGCAUGGAAUAACACGUGAAGAGAGGAAACUUCGGGCCUGUGGUCAAAAUGUGUUCACCACGGCAGACAACUGCUUGGGUGACAGCUUUGGCCUCUGGAUGAAUUCUCCUUGGCGAGCAAUCGUCCCACCUGUAGGUGCCUUCAUGAUCGUCUGUGUGCAGGGCACCAAGCAGGCCAUCUAAAGCCACUAAUCUCAAAGAGAGCUUACCCAGGGACAGGACUUUCCAAAAGGAAAGGAGCACAAUAGAAGAGAAUGGCUGCUGCUAAGUUCCAUCCAACAGGGUACAAGCCAGGCACUGAGCUGGGCAUUGAGGAUGAAGAGAUGAAACACAAUUCUAGCAUCUAAAUAGACCUUGGUUGGAAGUUGAGUUCCAGAGUGGGAUAUCAGACUCAAGGCCCAGACUUCACUUCUGGUCUCCUGACUUCCAAGUGAACAGUGUUGCAGCUUCCCUGACUGCAGUUAUAGGAGAAGACAGGGAGGAGAUAAAGAUGAGAGUGCCUCGGGAAGAGCAGGGAUGGAGGAGACAACCUGAGUCUUCUGAUCCAAAGGAGUGUGAAGAUGGAGUGACAUUGAGAGAACUGCAGAAGAAAGGGACUUGGCAUUUAUGGAGCAUACACCUGUACCAUCAUAUCAAAAUGCAACACAGCUAUUGCCUCUUGGAACAUUAUAAUAGAAUGGGGAAAUCAAGUAUAUAAAGAGGGCUAUGUACCUGCGGUGGUGGACUUCAUCUUUCCAAUCCUACUUCCUUAUCUGUGAAGUGGGCAAACCAAUCAUUUUUACCCCAGAGAGCUGUGAAGAACCUGUAUCAGUUAUACAGAAAGUUAAAGAACUUAUCGCAGUGCCUGGAAGCCAGGAUGUGGAGCCAGGAGAGAAGGGGCAUUCAAAGGGCCUGGGAGACCCUUGGUGAAAACAAUCAGUUGGUUUCAACAUCCCAGAGAGAUUCUCAAUCAGGUAGCUCACAGAGACCAAAGUUGGCACACAGCACUCUCCUAACACUAAAGACUCUACAACUCCUUCUUC
rnacentral:lncRNA from 10 species